GCUACAGCCACCCCAGCCUUCAGCCAGCCACCACCCUGAACAGUCAGCAGCCAUCAGCAUUGAGGCAUGACAUCCACCAGCAAAAAGACUAUGACUCACUGAAAGCUGAGUUAUAUAAAGAGUUAGCAUUUUUUAGCAAUUAAGUAUUUUUAAAUUAAGGUUUAUGGAUUGUAUUUUUUAGACAUAAUACUCUUACACACUUAAUAGACCAUAAUGUAGUAUAAACUUUUAUAUGUACUUUUUUAAUUAAAAAAUUCAUUUGACUGGCUUUUUUUGUGACAUUUACUUUAUUGCAGGUGUCUAGAACCAAAUCCACAAUAUCUCGAGGUAUGCAUGUAAUUAGACGUCAGAGUCGCCAUUAGAAUGUGCUGAUGGCAAUCUAGAACAUGAGGAACAUGAACAUCCAGGGUGGGAACUUCCUUAUCUGGAGGAAAUCUGCUACCCAGACAGCAACCCCUUCCCAGAUCCUUGCUGAGUGAAGUGACUAAACUCCAUCUCUCCCACCCAUCUGGUUGGAAGCCGAAAGCCAGAAGCCCCAUGUCCCCAGCAGCAGCAGAUUUUCUCCUGCAGGGCCCGUACUAGUCUAUCAAUGAAUGUCCUCUCCGUUCUUGGAGGUCAGAAGCCAUUUCUUCCAUGGAGCCUUCCCAGAGCCCUCCUGGAGCCCUCCUGACCAUACUAGCUGGUUUGGUGAUGGUAAAAAAAAAGAAGAAGAAGAAGAAGAAGAAGAAGAAGAAGAAGGAGAAGGAGAAGGAGAAGGAGAAGGAGAAGGAGAAGGAGAAGGAGAAGGAGAAGGAGAAGGAGAAGGAGAAGGAGAAGGAGAAGGAGAAGGAGAAGGAGAAGAGAAGAAGAAGAAGAAGAAGAAGAAGAAGAAGAAGAAGAAGAAGAAGAAGAAGAAGAAGAAGAAGAAGAAGAAAGAUAAAGAAAAGUUUGCAAUGCCAAUAUACAGAAUGAAUUUGGCUGAGAGAGCAUUCACUCAACAUAAGCAGAGAAGAAGGAGAGAGAGAAUCUUAAGCAGGCCACUGGUCCAGUGCAGAGCCUGA
rnacentral:lncRNA from 1 species